rnacentral:rRNA from 1 species
AACGAACGCUGGCGGCGUGCCUAACACAUGCAAGUCGGGGGAGAAAAGGGGCUUCGGCUCCCGAGUAAACCGGCGCACGGGUGAGUAACACGUAGGUAACGUACCCUUGAGUCUGGGAUAACCAGUCGAAAGAUUGGCUAAUACCAGAUACGACCCUGGAGGCUUCGGUCUCUAAGGUGAAAGAUGGCCUCUGCAUGCAAGCUAUCACUCAUGGAUCGGCCUGCGCA